rnacentral:rRNA from 1 species
GUCUCCCACAGGGUAGCCUGGUAAGGCCCCCGACUAGAUGAUCGGGUUGAUAGGCCGGAGGUGGAAGUGCGGCAACGCAUGGAGCUGACCGGUACUAAUAGGCCGAGGGCUUGACCACAA